UAAAAAAUUGUGAUAAUUACAAAGAACUUAUUAAAGAAUUUCAAAAUUUUACCGAUUAAACACUUGUAUCUGAAAUUUGUUUGUUUUAGUGUACUACCCAUCGACAGCCAUGCUCAUUUCUGGCAAAAAACACACUUAAUUGAUUUUAUUUGAGUACAAAUACAGAUUUAAAAUGAAGACAUUUUUUAAAAGAUUCGCAUUGUUUAUUCAGAUCACUAUGACUUAAGGUUGGUUAAAAUAAAAUAAAAAAGAUCUAUUACGAAUAGAUUAUGUGACGUUUUUGAUGUUUGUGUAACAUUGAAGAUAGUAGGUAAAAUGACCUCAAAGGCUAUUGAGAUUGAUUCCUUAUAAUUAGCAUUAUAUUAGAAAGUGCCCAAAUGCAUUGCUGAAAGUCAUAAUUACGUAAUCUAUUAUUAGUAGUGGUACUACAAACGUCCGUAUUCUGCGCAAUAUAGAAUGCCGAUGUAUUUAUUGCAAUGAAUUUUGCGGGAUUUUUUUUUUCGAGUAAACACUAGUGCUUUUUAAGGAGAUUGCGUGGCCCUUAAAAGGGCUGUGAUGGGUGGGUGGCCUUUUUAUGAUAAUACCUAUCUGCCUCAUCGUCUGGAUUGCAUUUUCUAUACUUUUUGUGAAGGCGAACUCCAUCGUUACUGUCUGAUGUGUGCCGUUCCUGCGUCGAAUGACAUUGGUAGUGUCAUGUCUCCAAAUCUUCUACUGUAAACUUUGGUUAGUAUUUUUUUUAGUAGAGACGCUUUCUUGUUGUAGUGUCGAUCGUGACGCGGAAAUAAUCCGGCCUGAAUGAAUACAGAGCUGUAUGCGGGAAAGUCACAUUCGACGUAAUGAUGUCCAAGUGUUGGUAGCUUUAGUCCGUAAUAACCAUAUUGUUUAUAAAGUUACAUAACUAUAAUUCUAUUUUUCAAUUUGUCAUUCUCAUUACAAAAUUUGAAACGAAAACCAUUGAAGCAGAUAUCUGGACAAGUGAUCGUACAUGAUGGACAGAUGAAGAGAUUGAAAACAAUGGCAUACCAAAGUAAGUCCCAUAAACUAAAUGUAGUAGAGUGAUUUAAUGUAGUUUUUAAUAAAAUAUAUAAAACAUUGAUGCUGUGUUGUUUUGUUAUAUAUAUAUAUAUAUAUACAUGUAUAUGUAUGCAUGUAUAGAAGACCAGUAUGCAGUAUUUUACCUGUAAUAUGCCCAACAUGUACUUUAAUUUGAAUUUUCGAAUGCAGUGGAACCACGAGAAAUCUUCGAGUUAUCCGAGUUAUCCGGACAGAAAGACAAAAGUGGGUAUAUUUUAAGACACUGACCAUGAAGUAUAUUUAUCCUUCAGUGCUUAGCAAACAUGGUAGAAUUGACGUUUUAUCCGAUUUAAUAGACAGCACUGACCGGCGACUGUUUCAUUUCUAAACGUAGAUAAGUUCCGCUUGAGCGAGCGGGUAGAUGAAUUGUUGACUAUCGUGUGUACUGUUAUCGGCGACCGCCUUAAAUCUCUAUAAAAACCGCCCAAGGGGGAGGCAGACAAAUCGUCACUAUAGAACGGUUGCUUAAGUUAUAGUAAUUGAAUGACUAGACGAGUGUAUUGCGAGAUAUUUCGGUGGGCGGGAACGAGUAACGCCCACCGAAAUAUCGAGUGUACACGAGUCUAGGACAUUCAAUAAAAUGGCUUGUAUCAUUGCCCGUCCAUCGGCUGUCAUUAAACUUCUAAAAACCAAUCAGAAUUGUCUCGGGUUUCUGAUUGAAUUCCCGCCAAAAACAAUCAACGAUCAAUUAGGAGUACAUUUCCCGCCAAAAACGUUAUCAGUUACAUGUAGUUCAAUGCGCACCCGACUUUGUAAGCGGUAAGCAGCAGGAUGUCAACCCCUUCAGCUAGCUUAAUGGUCAGUUUAAAGUACAGGGAUUUCCUUUCAUUACAAGGGGAUGAUUUUGACGACAUUGUGUUAUCUUAAGCAUUCAAGGAUAUAGAAAACGAAGUGAAAGUUUUUGAUGGGAUUUCCGACAUGUCGCUGACACCUAACGGGAAGGUGAUGCAAAACAUAUUUAGGAAUACGCCACAUUACCAGCAAGAACAGACAUUAUUACAACCAAGAAGGUGACCGAUGUAUUCCGGAGUACUUCGAUAUGUACAAUGAUGUUUAUACAGGAGACUUCUCGGAGGAACCCCCAUUUGUUAUGGAAGACAGGUCGUCGGUGUAAACAAACCAAAACAACAUGUGAAAGUGAAAGGAAAUUACACACAAUUUACACUAUUGUACAAAUGCGGCGAACUGGACAACUGUUACACGUUAUGUUAAAUUUGUAAACAGGGAAUCGUAUACAUAAUAUUUGUAACCAAACAUGUUUUUUUCAAGUUUUAAUAACACCUAUGUACUACAGACCCUAUUCGGCAUUGAUACAAAAACAUCCAGAUCGCUGUAAACACUUGCGCUUGACCAGAAAAAAAUCAAACGUUACAAUGUUUAUUUUACUCACCUGUAUGUAAUUGGGUCUUAAAACGACCAACAGCCACAUAAUUAUUUUAAUACAAUGAUUAAUAAAACAAAACUGUACGGUUAUUACAAUGUUCAAGCCCAGAUAGGCCUAGAUAAUCUGAUCACUUGUGUAUUAAUCCGUCACAGCGCCACCUAGGAAGGGCGAUCACACGUAACGGUAAAACCAAAAUCCGGCACGAACAAUGAAGGACUGGAUGUUUAUUUUACCUUCCGGUCAGUGCAAAGUUUUCUAAGAGAUUAAUAGCCAUUCUUCUCACCUGUGGAUACACUGGUCAGUAAACAAAAGAUCGAUAAUUACGUAUACACACGCAAAUGGCCAGUUUGACACGAAUUACCGUAAGCUGUUCACGGCUCGGUGCACCAGGUAAAUUUUUAGACACGACCAACUGGUCAUAAUUGUGGGGGUAAUUAACGUGAAUUAGUGGUCGUUGAGACUGGACAAGGUGGUCGUAAUAGUGAAGCGACCAAUACAAUGAUAUAGAGAGAAAAAAUCGGGACUGAAAAAAAAGUGCCCGUAAUAGCGGGGUGGUCGUAAGGUGAGGUUUCACUGUAUAAUAUAUAGAGGACACGGCCUUCAGCUUUAAUUUUCUGUGAUCGGAUUGACAUGAGGACACUGAAGUUUAAUAAUUACAUUAAAUAGAACUAACAUUGACUUUUUGCAUAGACAAAUUGGAAAUGAUUGUAUGCCUUGAAGUUUUUGUUUCAUUAAAGUUGAAAAUUACGGAAAUAAACUAAUGGUUCUGUGAGUUUUUGACUGUAUACGUUGCUGUAUACCUUCGGUAGCCAAUAACAUCCAAAUUUGGGGAGUUAGUGUACACUUUGAUGUACAACAACUUCCUAGUAUGUGAAGUUAUUGGACAACUAAGCUCCGCCUCUUAACUGGGUAUUGGGAUUUAUUGUACACGCAACUUCACAGGAAAAAUGAUACACACUUACUGUUCAUAACACUGAUAAUACUGAUUGAUACUUUUUGUGUUGACAAUCAGGGUAAUUUCAUGCAAGGCCAGUAUCGUUGCUUUAUUAUAACAAAAUUAUUAACGCAAAUCCAUAUAAAAAGAUAUUUAAACUUUAAUUUAAACCUUUAGUUAUAGGCUGUAAUAAUUUGAAUAACGAUUUAAUUAAACAUUGAAAUAACUUCCCUAUAAUGAAAUCUGCAUAAAUGGUUAUAUCUGCAUUGCUAACUUCACUUUGAAAUAUCUUUUUUUUUCAAAUUUUUGCUAAGAAAAACAUAAUUAAAAACUUACUGAAAUCAAUGCUGUAAAUAGACCCCUGUGGAGAACCUAUUUAAUUGAAAUGCAGAGGGACCUCACCAGGUGUUCCGAUUGACACACCUGAUGACCAAUUUUCACUUAUGCCUCCGGGUAUAGAAGAAGUGGUGGUAGGCCGAUCUUCACGACUCGGUGCACAAAUAUAAUAAAGUGGAGUCUCUAAUCCAACUUGUAGCUCUAGUCUGCCUUAGUUUGUUGCCAAUACCAAUAGUCUAUUUUUUUUGUCUAUCAAACAUGGUCUUUUUUUUUAUUUUAUUUUAUCAGUCAUUUUAUCAAUCGAGUUUUAAUCAAUAAUAAUGUUCAUUGAUUUAAAGGAAAGUUAUUAGUUUAAAAGAUCCCAUAACGUGAACAUGUUACUUUGAUUCAUAAUAAAAAAGAUAAGAUUCCGUUUUCAGAAAAUGCAGAUGUCAAUUAACAAAUGCUGCAUGCAUUGUACAGUAUAUUACUCUCCGAUUGGACAGCUAGUAUAUACUAUUCACGACUGUCUAGGUCCAAGCUCAUUUAAUUUAUUGACGUUUUAAGCAUUUAUUUUAAACAUUUACAGAUUUCAGAUUUUAUUGAUCACUAUGAAAUCACACAUUUCUUACUUCCAAUUUUAAUCCGGAAGAUUUUCAACAACGUGGAGAGAAGUUGGGGUCAGUCAUCCGUGUCGACAACCGAUCAGCUUGCCCGCUUACACGUUGUCAAAGCAACCGCUGCGAGGUCCUGGCCCCAGGCAUUUACCUGUGCAGCUCUAAGUUUUUGUAACCGUACUUUGUUUUUCACUACUUCGAUUUUAAAGAACGGAUUAUAGACUGGCCCUGUUUUUGUUUCAAACCUUAAGCAACUGAUAACUAGGGUAUCAACAAAUGCUAUUCCGUAGUUAGAACGAGUCCAUAAAAACAUACGCAACCAAGAUAGAUUAUUAUUGAUCUGGAGUAAACAUCACAAAACACCUUUGUGCCACUUUUACAUUCUGUAGGGUAAUGAUUACGUAAAUGUACAGUAGCGGGACGUCGCUCAUGUGUACUGUUUGAAGGUCACCACGACUAGUCCUAACCCUAAAUGAUGGUCCUCUUUAAAUUUCGUUUAUUUAAAAUUGUAGAAGGAAUGAAACGUAAACCAAAACAAUAAUAAAAAAAAGAAACAUGUCAAAUUGAUAUUCACAAAUCAUACCAAAUCAUUGAUGAGUUGUCAAUUAAACGUUUCCAAGUGUAUGUAAUCAAGGGAAAUAUCGCGUCCUCGACAAAUUUAUUCACAAAGUCCACGAAAUUCAGCAGUCCGGAAAACUCGUAAUCCAGACGGUUUGUGCUGGGACCAACAGUGUCCGGAUUAUCUUCGGUCUAUUGUACUGUAAUUAUUGGCUCAUGCAUUUGAUCCGAUGAAAGAAUUAUGGUAUGUGUUUUAGUGGACAAUGGAUUAUUGACGUUUAUAAUGUAUUGGAUGUGUAAGAAUACGACAUGUAUAAGUUUUUAAUUGUAUUUAAAGAUAAAUAUUGUGUAGAUCGUUUAGAACAUUGUUUUAUGAUAUAACCUUAUGUAGUAUCUUCAUCUUAAUCUUAUAUUUCUAGAUAUGUCUUUCUUCCUACCUCUUUCUUUGCUUUCUUUGUAAUCAUAAAUAUAAUGUGUCGCUUUCACUAUCUUUGUAAUAUGAAUUUUAGGGAAAGGGAUUUUAUAAGUUGGUAAAAAUCUUUUGCCAUAUCCAAUUGUGUGUAAACGAUGAUAUAUAUAUCUUAAGAUAAGAAAAAUAUAUAAAGAGGGUUGGUCAUUUCCCGCUUAUCCUGACCUAGGCCACCGAUAGUCUGGACUAAACAAUCAAUACCAUAUGAAAUAAAGUAAAAUUGAUACAUUAAAUAUGAAUUUUACACUACCCAUCCAUAUAUGCCUGUUGUCGUCGCUGCAGUUCAUUUAUAUUUUACCGUGAAUGAUACGGGGUAAAUCGGUUAAGUUAUGAUUUUGACUUUUUUUUAUGUAAGUGGAAAUUUUCUAUCUCAGCAUUAAAGUAAUCAACAGACAAGCACGAUAAGUGUUGUGUUGUAGGAAUAUCCGACACACACAACGCCAAUCGACGGGUAUUAUUUAUGUUCAAAGAUGAGUCAAGAAUCCACUUAGAUAGCAUUUACGGCCGUAGCAGGACGUAUCGUCGUGUAUGAGAGAGAUUCUGAGAUAUCUGCGUCGAAGGAUGACGUUCUCUUGGUGGUUGCAGUGUCAUGGCUUGUGGAGAGAUCACUGCCCAUGGCAGAACUUCUCUUGUAAGGCACAGGUAUAAUUUCACUGAAAUUCAAUACAGAGAUAUAAUGAUUAAUCAUUGUACAACAUGUUGUGCCCUUCAUCCGUGCCCAAAUAUGUUAAGUUACGCUACAGCAAGACAAGGAGACAUUUCAAGUGCAAGUUAUUCUGAGUAAGAAAUAGAACGCAUAAACUAACGAACCGGAUAUUUUCAAUAUUACGAGUAUUGGAAUCCAAAACAAUAAGCAAAAACAAUACAAUGUAAUUCCAGUAACAGUUAUAAUCAGAAAAUUACAAGAAAUAACGUAAAUAGGGUCCAUGCCUAUUAUCAUGACUAACAUAAUAUUACCGUGACGUGAAAUGGCGUGGAUAUUGAAAAAAAACCACCAGUAUUGAUUUUUACGCGAUAUGAAACUUGUCUUUAUGUGAAUUAAAGCAUACCAUGACCCAUAACGUCAAUCGAUGGAAAAGACGCCUUGAAAAUGCAAUAUUCUGUGCCAUUUUACGUCACGGUUAUGUUUGUCACAUUAAUAGACCUUGUCCCUAUCAUUUCAAAGAGUUAACGAUUGUCUACUUGAGUACACAUUUAAAACACAACCCGUCUCGUAGACGAACAUUUUCGUGUAAAAUACAAUACAUGCACCAUAUUUUUUAUUUGAGUUUCAAACAUUUAUACAUAUGUAUACGUUUUAAGUACAAUAAAUUACAGGAAAUAACGUUCAAAAUGAUGUCCUGUAUCCAGCUUACGCUGAGGGGCUUUUUCAUUAACGCAACAAACAAAAUCGCAUUCAUCUUAUGGCCGGGCGACAAACCUCUUAAAAACGAACACGGGAAUCACUGGCUGACAUUAAAUCUUUAUUUCAAUUCUCCCUUUCACAAGAUUAUAUAUACAGAGAAAAACAUACAUGUAUACAUUUCCGAUAAAUAGCUGUGGGAAAACAAUGUGGAGGCCUCCUUGGAAUAAACAAGCAUGAUAUAUGUUAUUCCGAUGUGAACGCACUAUUACAUAUAGGGACAUUGGCAUGCACAUUAAGGACAAAUCUUCACGUCUGCAUUUAUAUAUCUUUGUUGUUCGGAAAUUCGGAAUUUUAUUUAGUCCCAACAAAUACCAGAGACAUAUAUCUAUGUAUAUGUCUGCAUAUACGAACCGUACACGGCGUACGUAUUUUCACCCAUGUUCUGCAGUAAAAAAAAAAAAAAUAACUACGGGAAACGGCGCAAUACAUACAGUAGAGAAAAGAACGAACAUCUUAAAAAAACUACUUUUUGUUUUCGUUCGACUUUGAUUCGGUCUCAACAGUGCAUACACAAUAAACUACGGAAAACUAUAAUGAGUAGGUCCUAGCCAUUUACAAAUCGGGCAUGAAAAGGCAAAUAUUAGAUAUGUUUAUUAAUAUCAUGUGGUUGUAACUAGUGCUGCAACGACACGCUUCCCUCACGAUACGAUAGGUAGAUACUUGUCUCGCGAUACGAUAUGACGGUACAGCGUGCCCCAUUAGUUUAUCCUGUCGGGGUCAAGUGUGGAGGGCUCCGGGAUUUACGCAGGAUAAGCAUGAUUGGUGUACGCCGUACGAUCUGUAGCAAAAAUACGCCUUUAAUGCAGCAGCGAGAAACAUUAUUCAGGUUAGGAAAUAACCUAGAUCUGUGAGUCGCCAUCAGCCAAUCAAAAUACAGGAUUCCUGACAGUAGAUCGGGAACACUUCGCCUCGACAAUUUUGAUUCUGAAACGAUUUAAAAUGAAUUUAAACCGCCUGUUUUGAACACGGAUCCAGAAAAGUUUCUAUAUAAAUCAAACUUAAAUGGGCGA